GCUCCAAAGAUUGAUGAAGAUUUCCUGCCAGGAGUGACAGGAAAAUUCUCAAUUCACUUCCUACGUGAAUGCAUUACGCGGUAACCGUAACCGUGGGCUGGUUUCCCAGAGAGAACCGGUGUCCUAGAUCUCUCUGGACCCCGGGAAACUCUCCUCAGACCGGGUUUCCUGGCUGUGGGCCUGGGAGAGGCAGCAGUGAGCAGCGCGGCGUCUGGAACUGCAGCACGGGGACACCGGAACCUCCCAGGAAUUCCAGUGUUUGUUCCUAAGACAGAAACUCAGAGCAGAGCAACAAGAAGAAUGACUGCUUCUUUGGUAAAUACACCCCAGGGUCUGUUAACAUUCAGAGAUGUGGCUGUGGAAUUCUCAGUGGACGAAUGGGAAUGUCUCAACUGUUUUCAGAGGGCACUGUAUGCAGAUGUGAUGAAGGAGAAUUACAGUAAUCUAUUGUUUUUGGAGAAUUUUCUUAAAUGUGAGAAGGUGUUGGAUCAAGGUACAAAGCACAUUGUCCACAAGCAUGUGAUUAUCCAAGAAAAGUCUUACAAAUGUAAUGAGCCUGUCAAAGUGAUUCAUGAAUCCUCACAAAUUACACAUUCCAGAACCAAACAUAAACAUGAGUCUGUCAAAGUAUCGAACCUAAACAAAAACAAAAUUGGGAAGACUGGAGUUGAACCUUGCAAAUUCCAAGACUGUGUGAACUGUUUGAAUGUGUGUUCCAUCAUUAGUCAAAAUGGAAGAAUCCAUAUAGGAGAGAAAGAACCUAACACUACAGAGCAUGAAAAUCUGUUUGAUUCAAAACAUAAACUCAUGCUGAAACAAAGUAACAGUAGUGGAAAAAAGACACACAAUUUCAGGAAAUAUAGGAAAUGCUUCAACAUGUACUCAGGUGACAGUAGACAUCAGAGAGCACAUACUAGAGAGAAAUCCUAUAAAUGUACACACUGCAGUGAAUCCUUUCUGCAUUUGUCACAGCUCAAACAACAUUACAAAAUUCAUUACGGACAAUGUCCUUGCAAAUGUGGUAAAUGCUUUUAUAAUAUAUCAGGCUUUAAAAAACAUGAGAGGAUCCACCCUCGUGGCAAUACUUACAAAUGCAGUCAUUGUGGCAAAUCUUUUAUCUACUACUCGCAAAUUAGAAAACAUCAGAGAAGUCACACAGGAGAGAAACCUUACAAAUGUAAUGAAUGUGAGAAAUGCUUUCCCCAGAAAUACCAACUUACAGUUCAUCAGAGAAUUCACACAGGAGACAAACCUUACAAAUGUAGUGAAUGUGACAUGUCUUUUAUCAAGAAUUCCAAUCUUAGAAGUCAUCAACGAAUUCAUACGGGAGAGAAACCUUAUGAAUGUAGUGAGUGUCACAAAUGCUUUACUCAAAAAUGCAGUCUUGUUAUUCAUAUGAGAAUUCAUACAGGAGACAAACCUUACAAAUGUAUUGAAUGUGACAAAUGCUUUACUGCAAAAAGCAGUCUUAGAAGUCAUCAGAGAAUUCAUGCAGGACGGAAACCUUAUAAAUGUAUUGAAUGUGACAAAUGCUUUAACCACAAAAGCAGUCUUAGUAUUCAUCUGAGAAUUCAUACAGGAGAGAAACCUUACCAAUGUAGUGCAUGUGACAAAUGGUUUACUCGGAAAAGAAGUCUUGUCAUUCAUCAAAGAAUUCACACAGAUGAAAAACCUUACCAAUGUAGUGAAUGUGAAAAGUGUUUUACUGAGAAAGGCAGUCUUAGAAGUCAUCAGAGAACUCAUACUGGAGAGAAACCUUAUAAAUGUAAUGAAUGUGACAAAUGCUUUGCCCAGAAAUACCAACUUACAAUUCAUCAGAGAAUGCAUACAGGAGAGAAACCUUACAAAUGUAGUGAAUGCAAAAAAUGCUUUACUGAAAGAGGAAGUCUCAGAAGUCAUCAAAUAAUUCAUACAGGAGAGAAACCUUUCAAAUGUAGUGAAUGUGGCAAAACCUUUACCCUGAAAUGCCUUCUUACAGUGCAUCAGAGAAUUCAUACAGGAGAGAAGCCUUACAAAUGUAAUGAAUGUGGAAAAUGGUUUACUGAGAAAGGCAGUCUUAGAAGACAUCAAACAAUUCACACAGGAGAGAAACCUUACAAAUGUAGUGAAUGUGACAAAUGCUUUACCCAAAAAAGUAGUCUCAGAAGUCAUCAGAGAAUUCACACAGGAGAGAAACCUUACAAAUGUAGUAAAUGUGACAAAUGCUUUACCAAGAAAUCCCAACUUACGGUUCAUCAAAGAAUCCAUACAGGAGAGAAACCUUACAAAUGUAGUGAAUGUGAGAAAUGCUUCAGCUACAAACGUGCCCUUAUAUGUCAUCAGAGAAUUCAUACAUGAAAUAAACCUUACAAAUGCAGUGAAUGCCACAAGUGCUUUACUGAAAAGGGCAGUGUUAGAAGCCAUGAAAGAAUUCAUACACAGAAGAAACCUUACAAAAGUAGUGAAUGUGGCAAAUGCUUUAUUGAUAAAGUCACUUUUAGAAGUCAUCAAGGACUUGAUGCAGGAAAAAUACCUUACAAAUGUAGUAAAUGUAGCAAAUAUGUUACCCAGAAAUAUGAUCUUAUGAUUCAUGGAAGAAUUCAUACAACAGAGAAACCUUAUAAAUAUAGUGAGUGUGACAAGUAAAAAGCUUCAAGUAAAAGCUCUCUUAGAAAACACCAGAAAAAUCACACAGGCGAGAAACAUUACUGGUGAGGUGAAUGGGACAAAUUCUUAACCCAGAAAGAGGCUUAGAUAUCAUCAAAGUGUUCAUACAUGAGAGAAACGCUAUGUGAUUGUUUGUAUAUGCUUGACCCGGGGAGAGGCACUAUUAGGAUGUGUGGACAUGUUGGAGUAUUUGUGGCCUUCUGGAGCAGUUCUGUCACUUUGGGCAUGACCUUUAACACACUCAUCAUAGCGGCCUGGAAGCCAGUCUUCUCCUGUUUGCCUUUAGAACAAGAAGUAGAACUCUCAGCUCCUUAAGCUCCAGGUCUGCUGAUAUACUGCCUAGCUCUCUCCUUGAUGAUAAGGGACUGAACCUCUGAACUUGUUGGCCAGCCCCAAUUAAAUCUUGUCUUUUCUAAGAGUUGCCUUGGUUAUGGAGUGUGUUUCACAGUAGUAAGACCCUAACUAAGAUACAUUGCAAAUGCUGUGAAUGUGUCAGUUGCUUUACCUAGAAAAGUCAUCUCACAGUUCACCAGAGAAUUCAUACAGGAAAGAAAACUUACAAAUUAAUGAAUGUGGCAAAUGUUUUACCUUUAAAGAUAGUCUUAGAAAAUAUCAGAUAAUACAUAAAGAAGAGAAACCUCAGGAAUGAAAGGAAUAUUGAACACUCUUUAUCAGGAAAGACUCUAUUAGAACUCAGCAGAGAACCGUAGGGGGAACCUUACAAAUGUAAUGAAUAUGACAAAUCUUUAUUUUAAAAGGUGUCUUCAAAUUCAUCUGAGAAUUGAUACAGGAAAGAAAUUUUACAAAUUCUGUGAGUAUGACAAGUCCAUUCCUGAGAAAAACUAUCUAAAAGGCAUCAGAGCAUACAUAUAGAAGAGCCUUACAAAUGUAGUUAAUGUGACAAAUCUUUUGCCCUUAAACCUAUCUUAGAAUUCCUUAGAGAAAUCAUACAGGAGGCAAACCUUACAAAUGAACUGAACAAUCUAUUGAAAAUAAAGACAAUUUUAGAACUUGUCAGAAAUAAAUACAGGAGAGAAGAUCAACAAAUUGAGUGACUGUGAAGAAUUUGUAAACCAAGAAAGACCAUCUCAGAACUCAUCUGAGAAUACAUACACAAGAGAAACCUUGUAAAUGUAAUGAACAGUGAAAAUCUUUGGUGCUGGCUAAUCUCUUAGAAUAUGUCAGAGAUCAUAUUAAAAUGAAAUGUAUGAAGAUUAUUUGUGUCUGUAUUUCAGAACUAAGAAUGCAUUAAAAAAAUAGUAAUGGGCCCUUCCAGUCUGAGCCAGUGCCCUGAGCAGAACUUGGGCACUAGCUCUGCACCCAGUCCUACAACAUCCAGAAACUUCAUUCCCAGGUACUCUAACAUGCCCAGGAUUAUAAGUGAGGAGGCCACAACUUCUGCCCCAACACCGGGAGUAACUGGGACCCUCGGGGUUCAGGGACACAGGAAUACCCUCUCACCUCACCCCACCCAGAUACUGGCACAGGUUCUUUCUGGUCUGAGCUGCUGCCCUGAGCAGGCCUUGGUUGCUAGCUCUGCACCCAGUCCCACAACACCUAGAGAAUGCUUGACUCUCAGGUGCUCUAACAUGCACAGGACCAUAGAACCUCAGAAGCUUGAUCAGGACCCCAGAGGCAGCUUGACUUCCAGGAGCUAUGACAAACCCAGGAUCACAGAAUCACAGGAUCAGAGACAGCUGGACUCUGAGGAGUUUUGACACAACCCGGAUCGCUGGAGGGAUAGGCUUCAGUAAGAGAUAGCAAGGGCAUGUAGCACAAGAGAUAACCAGAUGGCUAGAGGUUCAAGAACAUAAGCAACAGAAACCAAGUCUAUAUGGCAUCACCAGAACCCAGUUCUCCCACCAUAGCAAGUCCUGGAUGCCCUACCACACAGGAAAAGCAAGAUUCAGAUUUAAAAUCACAUCUCAUGAUGAUGAUAGAGGUCUUUAAGAUGGACAUAAAUAGCUCCCUUAAAUAUAGGGAACAAGCCAGUAAGUGGCACUCUUGUUCCUUCAGGCUCCUGCUCUCUUUAAGUUUGGGCCCUCACUGCUUUUGAUAAUGAUCUGUGACAUGGAAGUGUAAAUGAAAUAAACUCAUUCCUCCUAAGUUGCAGCAAUACCAACCCUAAUGAAAACAAAUUAGUACCAGGAUUGUGAGAUAUUGUGGUGAUAGAUUUCACCAUGUUUUGGGGAGGAGUAUAGAAGAACUUUGGACAGUUGUAUGAAGAACCUAUGGUGUCUGGUUAGCUGGAGCUGAGGAAUCAGGUAUGGUCAGUAGGAAACCAGAACCACUAAAGUGAAAGCGUUGCUUUGCUGGAACAAUUGAUGCUGAGUAGCUGGAGCUGCAAAUUUAGCUGUGAUUGAAGUGUAAGAGGUCAACAUCAAGGGGGUAAACACUUCUAGGAAGUAUUUUCUCAACAUCAGUACAUGCAAUUUGUAUUCAGAGGUAGCCAAGGUUGUAUCUCAAGCUGCCAGCCAAACAUGGUACUGUAAGAGUCACCCAUGUGGUUUUGAAGACAUAAAAGGAUUGUGCAGAGCAUCUAAGGCUGAGCACUGAGAAGCCAGCAGAGGCCAUUGGUGAAAGUGCAUCAAGAGUACCAAUGGAUUGAAGGGGUCCUGGAGAAAAUGUGAGAGUUUGCCACAUGAAAAGAGCCUAUGAGAGGAUACUGGUGUGAGCACAAACCAGUUGCAGUAGAAGACCCCAAAAUUUUGGAGAUGUACCAUAGAAUGACUACCAAGUACAGCAGUAGCUGUAGAGUGGAGCCCCCCAAAUUGUAAGAGACAAGCUUUGUGUGCUGUAGAAGGCAGAACAGGAUAAGUGACCCAAGCCACUUGGAGGAAACAAAAAAAUCCCUGUGGACCUGGGUAAAAUCUUGUGAAACUUCCAGGGAGUAAAGCCUGCCUAGCAGAAAUAGGCCCCUUGGAGUGUUCCUUUAAGAAGCAUAAUAAUUCAAACCAGUAUUUUCACUCAAAUAUACUUUUACACCUUAUCUUCAAUAAUGGACUCAGUUGAUGGCUUCGCAUAGACCUCCAAUAUCGGUACUUUGGAUUUGUCAGGAACAGUAGAAUCAAACAGCCUUGGUGAAGACCCUAGAUGAAAACAAUGUUGAAAGGUGGGAAGAACAUCUUCAGAGAAAAAUAAAGUAGCAUGUAGGGGUGGAAGGACCACACUGAAUAAGAGCAGAUAGAGUAAGAACUCUUCUGAUGUUCCAUUUUUUGUAUGAAAUACUCUCAGGAUCUUCCCCAUUUAGCAUUAUGUUGGCUAUUGGUUUGUCAUAUAUAGUUUAUAUUGUUCUGAGAUAUGUUCUUUCUAUAACUCAUUACUUAAGUGAUUUUAUUAUGAUCAUGUUGAACUUUGUCAAAUGCCUUUUACAUCUA
rnacentral:lncRNA from 1 species